AUGAACCGUAUGCAUUAAAAGGUGCAUGUACGGUUCCUAAGGGAUAGAAUUUGAUCCUAAU
rnacentral:sRNA from 1 species